GAUGAAGAACGCAGCGAAAUGCGAUACGUAAUGUGAAUUGCAGAAUUCAGUGAAUCAUCGAGUCUUUGAACGCACAUUGCGCCCCCUGGUAUUCCGGGGGGCAUGCCUGUCCGAGCGUCAUUUCACCACUCAAGCCUCGCUUGGUAUUGGGCAACGCGGUCCGCCGCGUGCCUCAAAUCGACCGGCUGGGUCUUCUGUCCCCUAAGCGUUGUGGAAACUAUUCGCUAAAGGGUGUUCGGGAGGCUACGCCGUAAAACAACCCCAUUUCUAAGGUUGACCUCGGAUCAGGUAGGGAUACCCGCUGAACUUAAGCAUAUCAAUAAGCGGAGGA
rnacentral:misc_RNA from 1 species